GUCGCCGGGUNGCCGGCCUGNGNGGGUGUCCGGCCACACUGGGACUGAGACACGGCCCAGACUCCUACGGGAGGCAGCAGUGGGGAAUAUUGCACAAUGGGCGAAAGCCUGAUGCAGCGACGCCGCGUGAGGGAUGACGGCCUUCGGGUUGUAAACCUCUUUCAGUACAGAACAAGGCCAUGCUUUUGUGUGGUUGAGGGUAUGUGCAGAAGAAGCGCCGGCUAACUACGUGCCAGCAGCCGCGGUAAUACGUAGGGCGCAAGCGUUGUCCGGAAUUAUUGGGCGUAAAGAGCUCGUAGGCGGCUUGUCGCGUCUGCUGUGAAAACCUCAGGCUUAACCUGGGGCUUGCAGUGAGUACGGGCAGGCUAGAGUGCGGUAAGGGAGACUGGAAUUCCUGGCGUAGCGGUGGAAUGCGCAGAUAUCAGGAGGAACACCGGUGGCGAAGGCGGGUCUCUGGGCCGUUACUGACGCUGAGGAGCGAAAGCAUGGGGAGCGAACAGGAUUAGAUACCCUGGUAGUCCAUGCCGUAAACGUUGGGCACUAGGUGUGGGGUCUGUUUCCACGGGUUCCGUGCCGUAGCUAACGCAUUAAGUGCCCCGCCUGGGGAGUACGG
rnacentral:rRNA from 1 species